rnacentral:rRNA from 1 species
UCCUAGUGGCGGACGGGUGAGUAACGCGUGAGUAACCUGCCUUUAACAGGGGGAUAACACUGAGAAAUUGGUACUAAUACCCCAUAAUAUCAUAGAAGGCAUCUUUUAUGGUUGAAAAUUCCGAUGGUUAGAGAUGGGCAUGCGUUGUAUUAGCUAGUUGGUGGGGUAACGGCUCACCAAGGCGACGAUACAUAGGGGGACUGAGAGGUUAACCCCCCACACUGGUACUGAGACACGGACCAG